rnacentral:misc_RNA from 1 species
GAUGAAGAACGUAGCGAAAUGCGAUAAGUAAUGUGAAUUGCAGAAUUCAGUGAAUCAUCGAAUCUUUGAACGCACCUUGCGCUCCUUGGUAUUCCGAGGAGCAUGCCUGUUUGAGUGUCAUGAAAUUCUCAACCUUUUCAGCUUUCUUUGUUGAUCAGGCUUGGAUGUGGGAGUAUGCGGGCUUCUCAGAAGUCGGCUCUCCUGAAAUGCAUUAGCGGGACCUUUGUUGCCUGGCUUUGGUGUGAUAAUUAUCUACGCCAUUGUAGUCAAGCAGCUUAAAAUGAGGUUUCAGCAUCUAACCGUCUCCCCUGAGACAACUUUUUGACAAUUUGACCUCAAAUCAGGUAGGACUACCCGCUGAACUUAAGCAUAUCAAUAAGCGGAGGA